rnacentral:rRNA from 1 species
GACGAACGCUGGCGGCGUGCUUAACACAUGCAAGUCGAACGGAAAGGCCCUGCUUUUGUGGGGUGCUCGAGUGGCGAACGGGUGAGUAACACGUGAGUAACCUGCCCUUGACUUUGGGAUAACUUCAGGAAGCUGGGGUUAAUACCGGAUAGGAGCUCCUGCUGCAUGGUGGGGGUUGGAAAGUUUCGGCGGUUGGGGAUGGACUCGCGGCUUAUCAGCUUGUUGGUGGGGUAGUGGCUUACCAAGGCUUUGACGGGUAGCCGGCCUGAGAGGGUGACCGGCCACAUUGGGACUGAGAUACGGCCCAGACUCCUACGGGAGGCAGCAGUGGGGAAUAUUGCACAAUGGGCGGAAGCCUGAUGCAGCAACGCCGCGUGCGGGAUGACGGCCUUCGGGUUGUAAACCGCUUUCGCCUGUGACGAAGCGUGAGUGACGGUAAUGGGUAAAGAAGCACCGGCUAACUACGUG